rnacentral:rRNA from 1 species
UACGUAGGGUGCAAGCGUUGUCCGGAAUUAUUGGGCGUAAAGAGCUCGUAGGCGGCUCUGUCACGUCGGCUGUGAAAACCCGAGGCUCAACCUCGGGCCUGCAGUCGAUACGGGCAAACUAGAGUACUGCAGGGGAGACUGGAAUUCCUGGUGUAGCGGUGAAAUGCGCAGAUAUCAGGAGGAACACCGGUGGCGAAGGCGGGUCUCUGGGCAGUAACUGACGCUGAGGAGCGAAAGCGUGGGGAGCGAACAGG